rnacentral:ncRNA from 1 species
CGGUGCUGCCGCAAGAAUAUGCGGCGGGUAAAAGGGAAACAGGUGCAAAACCUGUGCGAUCUCGUCACCGUAAGCGGAUUUUCGCUGUCAUGCAUGCGCAGCCACUGAGCAAUCGGGAAGGCGAUAGCGUCUGACGCCGCGAGCCGGGAAACCUGCCGUCUG